UUAUGGCCACAUCACGUUGAAACACCGAUUCCCGUACGAUCAACUAAGUUAAGCUACGUUGAGCCUGGUCAGAACCUAGAUGGGUGACCGCUUGGGAAUACCAGGUGCUGUAGG